AGAGUUUGAUCAUGGCUCAGGACGAACGCUGGCGGUGCGCCCUAUGCAUGCAAGUCGAGCGAAGCUUUUCAGUAGUUUACUACAGAAAAUGACUGAGCGGCGAACGGGUGAGUAACGCGUGAGCAAUCUACCUUAGUUACAGGGAUAGCCCGAGGAAACUCGGAUUAAUACCUGAUAUUCUUUAUUUCUCGCAUGAGAAUAAAAGGAAAGGUCAGCCGAACUAAGAUGAGCUCGCGUUCUAUCAGCUUGUUGGUGAGGUAAAAGCUUACCAAGGCUACGACGGAUAGCUGGUCUGAGAGGACGAUCAGCCACACUGGGACUGAGACACGGCCCAGACUCCUACGGGAGGCUGCAGCAGGGAAUAUUGUGCAAUGAACGAAAGUUUGACACAGCGACACCGCGUGUGGGAUGACGGAUCUAGGUUUGUAAACCACUUUCAGGAGGGAAGAAAAUGACGGUACCUCCACAAGAAGCCCCGGCCAACUACGUGCCAGCAGCCGCGGUAAUU
rnacentral:rRNA from 1 species